AGCUCUGGAGAGGGGAGUCAUCAAGAGGUGAUCUUUUCACUUUCCCAAAGGACCCAGCCCAAGGUUAGGUGGAAGAAGGAGCCUGCUGAGAAGUUAUUUCUGCAUAGAGGAAACAACUUUGUGCUUCACAGAGAAGCAGGAAACAAAUGUUCAAAGCGGGUAAAUACCACCAAUGGGUUGUCAGUGAGCCCAUCAGAUUACCCUCCUAGCAAGAGCUACAAAAAGAGUGGAAAAAAGGAGAAAAGGAAAAAGAGAAGUCCCCCCAAGUUCAUCUAUGAAAGUCAGUGUGAUAGCAAGGAACAGCACUGAACUUGGAAUCAGGACCAUUCAUGGAGGAAGUUUCAGAAGGAUUAACUCUGGAGUAAUUACAGCUCACAGCAGUCAGCGGAAUCUGCUGGGGAGCUCAGUGUUUUUCGAUUUCAAUUAAACUGGUCACUUCAGACUCUGCUUUCAGGAUGCAAACAAAUCCCAGGCUCCUCAGAGAGGAAAAGCCCAACCAGGACCAAAUAACCGAAUAUCUUGGAAGCGUCUGAUCGUUGGAGUCUAAACAAUAGAAGGAGGUGACCAGGAUGAUGAAGGACCUGGAAAUCAAAGAAGCUGGGUACACAUACCCUGGAGAAGAGAAGACUGAGGAUUGAUUUCUUUUGAAGGGGGCUUCAAGUAUUUGAAAGGGGUUUCUCUGGAAAAGGACUUAGAGGAAUUCUUCUUGGCCCCAGAAAACCUCACUAAGGGCAAGGGAUGGAGUUGUAGAGAAGCUGAUUUAGGUCCUCUUCAGGGUGUUAUAGGCAUUCAUCGUGCUCUGAGCUCAGAUGUGAUAUUGGGAUGAAAUUAGGUGCUUAUGGGCCACUGAACAAAGGAGGUUUAUCUUGAGCAAACAUAGCACAGAUAUCCAAUGAAGACACAGUGACCCCUCUCUGGAUAAGGACCCCAUUGUCUCUGUCUGGAAACUUGUCUGAUCAGGCUGUCAUCAGGAUUUGGUGAUCCACGAGGUCUUGGGCAACCACCAACUCUGAGAAGCCCUCCUGCCGGGGAUCAGAAUGAUGAAGGCAAACAGGUUGCAAAAAGAAGAAGAAGUCAAGAAGCUCAGGGAUGCUGAGGCAAGUAAACAUUGGCUCUUUAACAAGAGAACCAAGUUCUUAAAAGAUGGAGUUGUUCAAAAAACGAGAUGAACUUGUUCAUGAAGUAGUGACUUCCUCAUUACCAGAAGUCUUCAGGCAGAGACUAGAUCACUUGCUGGGGAGAUCAAUUCAAUCUGAUAAGCAUUAUUAAGGAUUUACUAUGUUUUCAACACUCUGAAAGAUGCUGGGGAGACAAAGACACACAUGUGAUAGGCCUGGUUCUUGAGGAGGUCGUGCGCUGUUGGGUUUAUGUGCCAUUUUUUAGGAUGAGUAAAUAAAAGGGUCUGGAUCCUAAAAAGCUAUGGAAUG
ensembl:lncRNA